UCUUUCCUAACUUAAAAUACAAAAACCGGCACCAUAGCCCGCCUCCGCCUCCGCCUCCGCCGUCGCCGUCGCCGAUUCUGUUGCUAAAACCGUCCGAACGAGGCUUCGACCACCAGAAACGCCGGUAUGGAGAACAACAGCGACGACACGCUGAUCAAUUCUCAAAAAAGAAUUCCGAUCGUCGUUAACCCUGGUGAAACAGGUAACAAGUUCACGAUGUGGUCGCCAUUGAUGGAUCAUAUAGUGCAAAUUUCUUCUUCGAACAAGUCAUUGGCUGAUAAUGUCGACGAAAUCGAUUCGAAAAUCGAUCGCGUUCUUUAUUCUUCGAAGAAUUUUAGGAGAUUACCAAUUUUUGAAGAGAUGUGUCCGUCUUCCUCUGCGUCUUCUUUCUUUUAGGUUUAAGAUGGAGAUCGCGAUUCAAGAACCCUAAUAAUCGAUUCGAGAUUAAGAUUAAACAAAAAAAAAAAAAAAAAAAAAA